CGAGCGGGGGAAGGUAGCUUGCUACCGGACCUAGCGGCGGACGGGUGAGUAAUGCUUAGGAAUCUGCCUAUUAGUGGGGGACAACAUCUCGAAAGGGAUGCUAAUACCGCAUACGUCCUACGGGAGAAAGCAGGGGAUCUUCGGACCUUGCGCUAAUAGAUGAGCCUAAGUCGGAUUAGCUAGUUGGUGGGGUAAAGGCCUACCAAGGCGACGAUCUGUAGCGGGUCUGAGAGGAUGAUCCGCCACACUGGGACUGAGACACGGCCCAGACUCCUACGGGAGGCAGCAGUGGGGAAUAUUGGACAAUGGGCGCAAGCCUGAUCCAGCCAUGCCGCGUGUGUGAAGAAGGCCUUAUGGUUGUAAAGCACUUUAAGCGAGGAGGAGGCUACUUUAGAUAAUACCUAGAGAUAGUGGACGUUACUCGCAAAAUAAGCACCGGCUAACUCUGUGCCAGCAGCCGCGGUAAUACAGAGGGUGCAAGCGUUAAUCGGAUUUACUGGGCGUAAAGCGCGCGUAGGCGGCUAAUUAAGUCAAAUGUGAAAUCCCCGAGCUUAACUUGGGAAUUGCAUUCGAUACUGGUUAGCUAGAGUGUGGGAGAGGAUGGUAGAAUUCCAGGUGUAGCGGUGAAAUGCGUAGAGAUCUGGAGGAAUACCGAUGGCGAA
rnacentral:rRNA from 1 species